AGGUAUUAAAACAUUUUCAAAUCAGUUCAUGCGAGUUCAGUGGUUCAAUAUUAAUAUUAUAAAGCGACGAGAUAGCGACUUUUAGAAACUCAAAAUAGUGACUUUUCAACAAUAUAGUGAUUUCAAAACACUGCUUCUGAGAUUCACUGAGCCACUGGAUUUAAUCAAAACAUCUUAAUUUGUGUUCUGAAGAUGAACGAAGGUCUUAUGGGAGUAGAAUGACAUGAGGGUGAGUAAUAAAUUACAUUAUUUUCAUUUUUUGGCUGAACUAACCCUUUAAUCUCAAUAAAUCACUUACUUUUCAAUUCUGCCUUUAAGGGACAACGUUACUUUAGGAUUUUAUACCCGUUUACCUUGAGGAGUUUAGUGCGUGAGUACUGUACUGUCCUCCCUUGAGAAGUCAGACGGCGGGAGUGGAAGGGAGAUCGAGUGGGCGGGAUUGUGUGUUGCUGUCGCUCUAUAGUCUCUUAAUAAUAGGCCUCAAGAAUUUGUCAAUAGUCCCCUCUUGGUAUUUCAGAAAAUUAACUCAGCACUAUGAUUGGUUUAACUCUUGCUUUUACUUGGAGUACUACGCGUGCACAGAGCCAGGUUUCUGUGUAGUUUAGAAUAACAACGUACUUCGAGAUCAAAAUGCUUACCCUCUACGCAAAAUGCGUACAGGCUGACAGAUCUGCAGCAGAAACUGUAAAGUGACUAUUGUAGAGUAAUCAAAAUAGACAUUAAAAUUAGUCUGCGCUUUUAUUCCCAUUUUUGUUAAGAUAAUUUAACUUCUGCUUUAAAAACAUUUUUAUAUUGUAAAGUUACAAUGUUAGAAUGGCUUUAAAUAUUAAAAUUUUAUAAGCAGUAAUACAUCACACCACUUUUUAAAUUUAACCUCCCCCCAGCCGUCAGUGCUUUGUAUAAACUUCUAUCACAGCACUUAGAUUAGGGUAAAAAAAAAAAACACUUGAAAUGAGCGUUCUUUGAACAAGAUAUAUUAGCCUUUAAAUCCAAUAAGUGAAUAUUAACUUCACAAACGAAAUGCUCUUAAUUAUGAAAAUGUUAAACCAAAUGUAAAUCAAGCAUUUACAGAAUAUAAAGGUAACAUUACAAUAUGCACGUGUUUUUCGCCAAAAAAAAAAAAAAGGCUUAAUUUACAAGCCAAUUUACCUGCUAAACUAAAAUAUCCAUAUUAAAAUUAAAUGUUUAAAAAAAACAAACAAAAAAACACUUGAAAUGAACAAGAUUAGCUUUUAAAUCCAAUAAAAGGGAAAAACAAAAUGCCCCUAAUUAUGAAAAUGUUAAAACACUAGAUGUAAAUCAGGCAUUGCAAAAAAAGGCUCCAUUUACAAGCCAUUUUACCUGCUAAACUCAAAAAGCUACCUAAAAUAUCCAUAUUAACAUUAUAUAAAUGUUAAAGCAAUAGAAUUAAAAGUAUACAUUUAAAAAAAAAAAAAAAAACCCUUACAUGAGCAGAUUGGGUUAAUUCACAAAAAAAAAAAAAAAAAAAGAAAAGUCAUAAACUACUAACCUGCAUUUCGUUAUAAAUAGUAAAGCCAUAAAUGAUUAACAUGAAAUAUGAAUAUUGACCAUUUUGGAUCCACCAGUCAUCAAGUACUCACCCUCAUGUCAGCCGAAACCCAUAAGACGUUCGUUCAUCUUCAGAACACAAAUUAAGAUAUUGUUGAUGAAAUCCAAUGGUUUCUGAACCACACAUAGGCAGCAACAUCAUUGCACCUUUUGAUGUCUGUGCAGAAAGGUAGUCAAGACAUUGUUAAAAUAGUCAACCUGACUACAGUGGUUCAACCUUAAUGUUAUGAAGCGAUGAGAAUACUUUUAGUGCGCAAAACAAAAAUAAAAACAGUAGUAUUGGCUGAAGCUGUACACGUGAGCACAACGAUGGAUGCGUGUGAUGCUGACACAGGAUUCGGCCAAUACUGAGCUGGUGUUCGGACGUAAACAUGGAAGACUGCACUACAUCAACUCUGUAUGACAACAGUUCAAAUUGUUAAAUAAAGUCACUAUUUUUGUUUUGGUUUUGCACACAAAAAGUAUUCUUGUCCCUUCAUAACAUUGAGGUUGAACCACUGUAGUCAUACUGACUACAGAAUAGGGAUGUCACGAUUUUCGAAUAUUCAAUUCGUUGAUUUAAUUAUAGAAUAUCGAAUAGGUUGUGCGAUUUUCGUCUUUAAAAAAUCCUCACGUUUUCAAUGGUGACACGUUCAUGUAAACAGAGGGUGGCGCGCGCUGCCAAUAACGCACCUACAAGCCGUCAAUCACGCUGUCUCACACACAAACUGUAGACUAGCGUGGCAUGUAACAGAGACGUUAAAAUCAAUGUUCACACAAGUGCCGUCAUUCAGGCCGUUCACAAUGUUAUAACGCGCUUAGGCAGCCUAAAAUCAUUAUGGCUUGAGGUAGGCUUGCUGCGACAGUCGGUGUUGUCCCGCGGCACCGCCUCCACUGUCAUUUUGAUUUUUUUAUAGUAAUAAAAGAGACACUUCAAUUACAAACUGAACACGUCUGCUCAAUUCAGCGUGAGCCAAACGAGAGUCGCAGCACAGAUCAGCAGAAGGAGUCAGAUUUCGCCUCACUCUUGAAUAACAAGACUACGGCGGUAGAUUUGGUUUCAAAGCGAAAUGUAAAAGUGCCCAUUUAAGUGAGUUUGUCAUUGUACUGUUUUGUUGUUGUGUUUUUCAUUAAGAAUAAUAAUGACGCUAAUUUGAAAGUGAAAGUAAAAUCCCCACGGUCAUUCAUAAUGGUGCGCGAACACUGGCGCAGAGCGAGCGUUUUCAGUUAACGUAAUUCCUAUGGAAGCUCAAAAUAGGAAUUAAUUAAAAACGUUAACAAAGUAAAAAAAACAAAGUACUUACAGAUGUAAAUUUCAUUUUUUGGUGAAGUAACCCUUUAAAGAGGAAAAGAUGAUCACAUUCUCUCACACUUGAAAUGUGGCGCCUGUAAAGAGAUCUGUCAUGCCACAUCAAGAAGCGUAAAAAUUAAAGUUUUUGUUUGAAUUUCGAGAAUAAAAUGGACAGGGGUACGUACGUUCAGUACGCAAUGAGAGUAUCACGGUACGUACCGUACCCUAGACCAGACCAAAGCUGCAGGGGGUGCCAGGAAUAAAUCACACUCAAAUAUGGACUACAACAAACAACAUCCCCAGUGUGAAAACUACAUUAGAGUCCUUAAUGUACUCAAAAGAACACUGAUUUACUGACUGGAGAUUGUUGGUAAUGCCAGUGUAAUAAUGAAUAAAUGAACCAUACUGUUAUUAUAAGAAGUGAACCAAAAUCUGUGUUAUGCUUUUCUGUUAAAAUUUUAGUGUUUGUUUACUUGUGUUCGUAACAAGCAAAUCUUACCUGCUCCACCUUUCUCAGCGACAUUGGGCAUCUCUCAGGCAGACCAUCACGGAGCCGGCUAUGGUGUUGAUCCACCUAACACACAAGAGCACACCUUUUCUGUCCUGAGACCCUCAGGUGACCACCAAGGAAGAGAACAGACUACUUCUGGCGUGAGACGGGAAAAUCCAGUCUUGAGUCUUGUACCAAAUCAAUGUACAUGUAAGUUAUUUAUCAACUUCACUGGUCCAGUCUCUAGUGGGAAACAGGCGCUUUUUACCCCCAGUGGCAGUGCAAAAUGAUGAAGAGGAUGGCAUCUUUCCUCUUGCAUCCACUGAGGAUCUAGACCGGCUGGAGCAAAGUCUGUCAGACAGAGGGUUUCUGCAGAGAAUGGUGAACAGAUUAUCCAUCAGCGGCGGGCCGACAAUGAAGAAGACCGUCUGGAGAAUCUGCUCCAAGGUCUUCAGCACUAAUGUCGCCCGCCAACUGAACUGGUGUGGGAGAGGAGACCAGCGGGGGAUCAGAAAGACAAACAUCGGGUCACUGUUAACAGCUUCAGCCAUGAGGAAUCCCGUCCUGCCGUCUCCAACGGAAGCAGAGGCGGAGAAAUAUAUCAAAGAUUUCCAACGCUUGACUCCAGGGAGGGUGUAAUUGUUUAUUUAAAUUAAAUGUAUGUUAUUAAAGUGUAUUGUUUUGUUAAAAUAUAUGUUAUGGAGUUGUGUUAAUAUGGAUUUUUUUUUUAAUUA